rnacentral:rRNA from 1 species
CACGUAGGCUGCCUGGUAAGUCAGGGGUGAAAUCCCACAGCUUAACUGUGGAACUGCCUUUGAUACUGCCAGGCUUGAGUGCCGGAGAGGGUGGCGGAAUUCCAGGUGUAGGAGUGAAAUCCGUAGAUAUCUGGAGGAACACCGGUGGCGAAGGCGGCCACCUGGACGGUAACUGACGCUGAGGUGCGAAAGCGUGGGUAGCAAACAG